rnacentral:rRNA from 1 species
GAUGAACGCUGGCGGCGUGCCUCAAACAUGCAAGUCGAGCGGGGCUAUGUAAUAUCGCAAGGUAGAACAUAGCCUAGCGGCGAACGGGUGAGUAACACGUGGGUAACCUGCCUGGAAGACAGGGAUAACGAUUCGAAAGGGUCGCUAAUACCUGAUAAUAUCCUUUCAUCGCAUGGUGAUAGGAAGAAAGGGGAAACCCGCUUUCAGAUGGGCCCGCGUCCCAUCAGCUAGUUGGUAAGGUAAAGGCUUACCAAGGCGACGACGGGUAGCCGGUCUGAGAGGAUGUACGGCCACACUGGGACUGAGAUACGGCCCAGACUCCUACGGGAGGCAGCAGUUGGGAAUCUUAGGCAAUGGACGAAAGUCUGACCUAGCGACGCCGCGUGAGGGAAGAAGGCCUUCGGUUGUAAACCUCUGUCAUGGGGAAGAAGUAAGUGACGGUACCCCAAGAGGAAGCCCCUGCUAACUACGUG